rnacentral:tRNA from 1 species
GGGGAUGUGGCUAAGCGGGUAGAGUGCUUGCCUAGCAUGCGUGAAGCCCUGGGUUUAAUCCCCAGCACCA